AACGGCCGCGGUAUCCUAACCGUGCGAAGGUAGCGUAAUCACUUGUUCUUUAAAUGAGGACUAGUAUGAAUGGCACCACGAGGGUUAAGCUGUCUCCUUUUUCUAAUCAGUGAAACUAAUCUCCCCGUGAAGAAGCGGGGAUUAUACUAUAAGACGAGAAGACCCUAUGGAGCUUAAAACAAAUUAACACUUGCUUCUAUCCAUUUUUACUCCUGAACUAACACAUAAAAUAUAGCAUCGUUGAUUAAUAGUUUUCGAUUGGGGUGAUCAUGGAGUAAAAACCAACCUCCACGACGAAAAGGAACACUUCCCUGAGCUAAAAGCUACAACUUUAAGCACUAAAAAAUUAACGCACUUUGACCCAAAUUUUUGAGCAACGAACCAAGUUACCCUAGGGAUAACAGCGCAAUCCAUUUCAAGAGCCCCUAUCGACAAAUGGGUUUACGACCUCGAUGUUGGAUCAGGGUAUCCCAGUGGUGCAGCCGCUACUAAAGGUUCGUUUGUUCAACGAUUAAAACCCUACGUGAUCUGAGUUCAGACCGGAGAAAUCCAGGUCAGUUUCUAUCUAUAAAGGGCUUUUUCUAGUACGAAAGGACCGAAAAAGCAUGGCCAAUGAUCAAUUAAGCCAUAUAAAUUACUCAUGUUUUCAACUCAAUUAGAGACAAACCUACCAUAAACCUCAAAAAAAGAGAAGUUAACGUAGCAAAACCUGGCCCUGCAA
rnacentral:rRNA from 1 species